GGACGGGGGAGAACACGUGGGUAACCUGCCUGUAAGACUGGGAUAACUCCGGGAAACCGGGGCUAAUACCGGAUGCUUGAUUGAACCGCAUGGUUCAAUCAUAAAAGGUGGCUUUUAGCUACCACUUACAGAUGGACCCGCGGCGCAUUAGCUAGUUGGUGAGGUAACGGCUCACCAAGGCGACGAUGCGUAGCCGACCUGAGAGGGUGAUCGGCCACACUGGGACUGAGACACGGCCCACACUCCUACGGGAGGCAGCAGUAGGGAAUCUUCCGCAAUGGACGAAAGUCUGACGGAGCAACGCCGCGUGAGUGAUGAAGGUUUUCGGAUCGUAAAACUCUGUUGUUAGGGAAGAACAAGUACCGUUCGAAUAGGGCGGCACCUUGACGGUACCUAACCAGAAAGCCACGGCUAACUACGUGCCACCAGCCGCGGUAAUACGUACGUGGCAAGCGUUGUCCGGAAUUAUUGGGCGUAAAGCACGCGGACGCCGUUUCUUAAGUCUGAAGUGAAGCCCCCGGAUCGAACGGCCAAGGUCAAUGGAUAAC
rnacentral:rRNA from 1 species